CACUGCUCCUGGGGGUGUCUCUUGCUCUUAGCGGAGCGCGCUGGUCACCCAGUUGCAGCCGCUGCUCACGGCUGAAAGGGCAGUUCACCCUGGCUCCGGCAUGGUACUGUCGUUCCUAGCAGGUUAGAUUUCCCCCGGGAGAAAGAAUCCAGGUUCAUAUGCUAUAGAAAUUUCUGCUUUCCCUUUGUGCUCUGCUGCCUGGUUCAACUGAGGAUACUCGUUUCACUUCUGAAAUGUAUUCUGCUUUGACCUACUCCUAAGGCCUGGUGGGUCACCUGGUGAGCAUAGAAACAAAAGAGGUAACUACAGUCUUGAUCUAUAUUGCAUAUGAAUAUAUCAACACACAAG